rnacentral:rRNA from 1 species
AGAGUUUGAUCAUGGCUCAGGAUGAACGCUAGCGGCAGGCUUAACACAUGCAAGUCGAGGGGCAGCACGGGUAGCAAUAUCUGGUGGCGACCGGCGCAAGGGUGCGUAACGCGUGAGCAACAUGCCCGUAUCAGGGGAAUAAUCCAGGGAAACUUGGUCUAAUACCCCAUAGUAAAUAUUAAAGGCAUCUUUAAUAUUUUAAAGCUUUGGUGGAUACGGAUUGGCUCGCGUGACAUUAGCUAGAUGGUAAGGUAACGGCUUACCAUGGCUACGAUGUCUAGGGGUUCUGAGAGGAAGAUCCCCCACACUGGAACUGAGACACGGUCCAGACUCCUACGGGAGGCAGCAGUGAGGAAUAUUGGACAAUGGAUGGAAAUCUGAUCCAGCCAUGCCGCGUGCAGGAAGACGGCCCUAUGGGUUGUAAACUGCUUUUAUAUGGGAGCAAUAAGACCUACGUGUAGGUUGAUGAGAGUACCAUAUGAAUAAGCACCGGCUAACUCCGUGCCAGCAGCCGCGGUAAUACGGAGGGUGCAAGCGUUAUCCGGAUUUAUUGGGUUUAAAGGGUGCGUAGGCGGUUUGAUAAGUCAGCGGUGAAAUAUUUCAGCUUAACUGGAAGGGUGCCGUUGAUACUGUCAGGCUUGAAUUUAGUUGCUGUGGGUGGAAUGUGUGGUGUAGCGGUGAAAUGCAUAGAUAUCACACAGAAUAUCGAUUGCGAAGGCAGCUCACAAAGCUAAUAUUGACGCUGAUGCACGAAAGUGUGGGGAUCAAACAGGAUUAGAUACCCUGGUAGUCCACACUGUAAACGAUGAUAACUCGCUGUCGGCGAUACAUAGUCGGUGGCCAAGCGAAAGCGAUAAGUUAUCCACCUGGGGAGUACGACCGCAAGGUUGAAACUCAAAGGAAUUGACGG